rnacentral:rRNA from 1 species
UACGGGGGGGGCAAGCGUUGUUCGGAAUUACUGGGCGUAAAGGGCUUGUAGGCGGCCAACUAAGUCGGAUGUGAAAUCCCCAGGCUCAACCUGGGAACUGCAUCCGAUACUGGAUGGCUUGAAUCCGGGAGAGGGAUGCAGAAUUCCAGGUGUAGCGGUGAAAUGCGUAGAUAUCUGGAGGAAUACCGGUGGCGAAGGCGGCAUCCUGGACCGGCAUUGACGCUGAGGAGCGAAAGCCAGGGGAGCAAACGGG